AGUGAACGCUGGCGGUAGGCCUAACACAUGCAAGUCGAACGGCAGCACAGUAAGAGCUUGCUCUUACGGGUGGCGAGUGGCGGACGGGUGAGGAAUACAUCGGAAUCUACUUUUUCGUGGGGGAUAACGUAGGGAAACUUACGCUAACACCGCAUACGACCUACGGGUGAAAGCAGGGGAUCUUCGGACCUUGCGCGAUUGAAUGAGCCGAUGUCGGAUUAGCUAGUUGGCGGGGUAAAGGCCCACCAAGGCGACGAUCCGUAGCUGGUCUGAGAGGAUGAUCAGCCACACUGGAACUGAGACACGGUCCAGACUCCUACGGGAGGCAGCAGUGGGGAAUAUUGGACAAUGGGCGCAAGCCUGAUCCAGCCAUACCGCGUGGGUGAAGAAGGCCUUCGGGUUGUAAAGCCCUUUUGUUGGGAAAGAAAAGCAGCAGGUUAAUACCCCGCUGUUCUGACGGUACCCAAAGAAUAAGCACCGGCUAACUUCGU
rnacentral:rRNA from 1 species